UGGUUCCCACGCAGGCGCGAUUUAUGCAAAAGAAGCCCAUUUUUCCACGCUGAUUUGCUUUUGUCCAACACAUCUGCGGAGUGUGUACGGUGGACAGGCCCUCGGGAGGUGAUCUUGUGAACACUUGCUGAGGAUCCUUGAUGCCGAGUGCAGGAUGUUUCCUACCAGUUUGAAGCCAUGUCUGAAGGGUUCCGAGGUGGAAUGUUCUGCGCUGGCCGAUGGCGGCGUCGGGGGGGGGCACUGCACCGCAUGCCCAUGGUGACGAGGAAACAGCUGACGCAGGCAACAACGGCAUAGACCAACAUCUGAAGGAUGACAGUGGAAAAAGUUUGGACACCCCUGCCAUAUGGUCUCCACAUCAAAGGUCCAUUUCCCUACGAAGACCAUGCAUCCUGCCCAUCAACCAAUGGCCUCAGCAGCCAAGUUUGAUCACUCUAUGGAGGCUGUACACCCCUCCCAUCCCCACACCGCUGGCCCAUCACCAAAUGUCCACACCUAUGGUCCUUCACCCGGCGUACACAAUAGCUUGCUACCUGAAUCCACCUGAGAAUAAAAAGGCAGCUUUCCUGGCACCAGACAGGAGAGAUGCAGGCAACCCAUCUAUUGAGGACACUAUCUGUUAUCAACCACAGGCAGAAAAAUCAUGGACGCCAUGUGAUGGAAAAAAUGUGGGCAGAAAAAGAAGGAAUUGAAGAAGUCCUCUUGAAAAUAGAUCCGGUCCAAGUCAGAGUACUUCAAACUCUCUGCGACUUGGUUGGAGACAAAUACAGCGACGGCCCUCCUCAACAAUCGGGCCAGCAAGAGCUCUUUCCUGAGAGCGGCGUAUUCAUAUCAUUGUUCCGCCUUGCUGCCAUGAGACAUGCUGCAGAGCCCAAAUGUAGGCCUUUAUUUGGACCUCUUUUUUCUACGUGUCAAAAUGCUGUCCCUUUUUGACGCCCUGGAAACAAACCUGCAGGAACACCAAAGCGCAUCCUUAAGCGGAAAAAAGUGGAAGGAAUCCUUAGUAAGUUUUCCCAAACAGAGGGUGUUUUCAGGCCAAAAUUGGGUCACAAUAAUGAAAUAGAAGUUCAAUAUGAGAAAUGUUGAUCCCUUUUCGAUUACAGCAGACUGGAAGCAUAACUGAAUGUUACAUCAUUACAAUUUGUUAUCCACUCCAAACUAGCGUUAUGAUGAGCAAUAUAGUCUGAUGUCCAUCAACUUGAAGUGUGGUUGUGUGUAUUAAUGGUUUUGCGUAAAUGAAGGCUUUAAAGGGCAAUAAAAAAGCAUUAAAUGAGGCAUUUAAAAAAGGGAAUAUGAUUGUAGGACAUGGCGGACAGUCAAUAUGUCAAACGGUAAAGGAAAAUGAACUUAAGAAGGUUACAGUCGUUUCUUUUUUGAACUGCAUACAAGAGGUAUUGUAAGGUGGGAACACGACAAAAGCACUGCUUCAAUCAAGCAAAAUGAAACAUCAACUUUUCCAUUCUUUGGUCACUGUAGGCGUGUAGUCCUUAACUGUGACACCAUGUCAGGAUAAUGGAGAAGCUGAGCCGACACGGAGUCGUUUAUUUCAAU